GCCCCUGUAGCUCAACUGGAUAGAGCACGCGCGUUCUAAGCGCUAGGUUGGGUGUUCGAGUCACCCCAGGGGCGCCA
rnacentral:tRNA from 1 species